GGGGACGUACCGGUUUCGACAGAAGUGCGUGUAUCAUAAACAGCGAGUCGGGAUUCCAUCUACCCCGCUAAACGGUGGGAAACAAUAAACGCAAAACGUGAUUUUGCUUUAGCAGCUUAAUCUGCUAAUGUCUCUCCGGUGUUUUCCUGCGGCUCCGGACAGACACCAAUCAGCAGGAUACCAAAGAGAAAUUCCCGGUAUCUCUGAGGAAAAUCAAACCUGGAUAGGCAGGGGCAGUUUGUUCCUGUACGAUACUCUGCCAAAAACUUAAAACAGGAACUGCACUCGGAGAGGUUUAUGGGGCAGCCUUUUUGGACAGGGGUUCGACUCCCCUCGUCUCCACCA
rnacentral:tmRNA from 1 species